UACGUAGGGUGCGAGCGUUGUCCGGAAUUAUUGGGCGUAAAGAGCUCGUAGGCGGUUUGUCGCGUCGGCCGUGAAAACUUGGGGCUUAACCCCGAGCCUGCGGUCGAUACGGCAGACUUGAGUUCGGCAGGGGAGACUGGAAUUCCUGGUGUAGCGGUGAAAUGCGCAGAUAUCAGGAGGAACACCGGUGGCGAAGGCGGGUCUCUGGGCCGAUACUGACGCUGAGGAGCGAAAGCGUGGGGAGCGAACAGG
rnacentral:rRNA from 1 species